GCUGGGCGUGGUGGCACAUGCCUGUAAUCCCAGCUACUUGGGAGGCUGAGGCAGGAGAAUCACUUGAACCCGGGAGGCUGAGGUUGCAGUGAGCCAAAAUUGUGUCACUGCACUUCAGCCUGGGUGACAGAGUGGGAUUCCAUCUCAA
rfam:Gorilla gorilla gorilla genomic chromosome, chr12, whole genome shotgun sequence